AACGAACGCUGGCGGCAUGCCUAACACAUGCAAGUCGAACGAGACCUUCGGGUCUAGUGGCGCACGGGUGCGUAACGCGUGGGAACCUGCACUUAGGUUCGGAAUAACUCCCCGAAAGGGGUGCUAAUACCGGAUAAUGUCUUCGGACCAAAGAUUUAUCGCCUUUGGAUGGGCCCGCGUUGGAUUAGCUAGUUGGUAGGGUACAAGCCUACCAAGGCGACGAUCCAUAGCUGGUCUGAGAGGAUGAUCAGCCACACUGGGACUGAGACACGGCCCAGACUCCGACGGGAGGCAGCAGUGGGGAAUAUUGGACGAGGGGCGAAAGUCUGAUCCAGCAAUGCCGCGGGAGUGAUGAAGGCCUUAGGGUUGUAAAGCUCUUUUACCCGGGAUGAUAAUGACAGUACCGGGAGAAUAAGCUCCGGCUAACUCCGUG
rnacentral:rRNA from 1 species